GAUGAACGCUGGCGGCGUGCCUAAUACAUGCAAGUCGAGCGAACAGAUAAGGAGCUUGCUCCUUUGACGUUAGCGGCGGACGGGUGAGUAACACGUGGAUAACCUACCUAUAAGACUUGGAUAACUUCGGGAAACCGGAGCUAAUACCGGAUAACAGAUUGAACCGCAUGGUUCAAUAGUGAAAGGCGGCUUUGCUGUCCCUUAUAGAUGGAUCCGCGCCGUAUUAGCUAGUUGGUAAGGUAACGGCUUACCAAGGCAACGAUACGUAGCCGACCUGUGAGGGUGAUCGGCCACACUGGAACUGAGACACGCUCCAGACUACUACGAGAGGUCGCAGUAGGGAAUCUUCCGCACUGGGCGAAAGCCUGACGGUGCAACGCCGCGUGAGUGUUGCAAGACUUCGGAUCGUAAAACUCUGUUAUCAGGGAAGAACAAAUGUGUAAGUCACUAUGCACAUCUUGACGGUACCUGAUCAGAACGCCACGGCUAACCACCUG
rnacentral:rRNA from 1 species